CCUANGGGAGGCUGCAAUUAGGAAUCUUGCGCAAUGGGCGAAAGCCUGACGCAGCGACGCCGCGUGACUGAUGAAGUCUUUCGGGAUGUAAAGGUCUUUUCUGAAGGAAGAACACAAUGACGGUACUUCAGGAAUAAGCCCCGGCUAACUACGUGCCAGCAGCCGCGGUAAUACGUAGGGGGCGAGCGUUGUCCGAAUUCACUGGGCGUAAAGCGCGCGUAGGCGGACUAUUAAGUUGAUGGUGAAAUCCCGGGGCUCAACCUCGGAACUGCCUUCAAAACUGGUAGUCUUGAGGUUUGGAGAGGGAACUGGAAUUCCUGGUGUAGCGGUGAAAUGCGUAGAUAUCAGGAGGAACACCCAUGGCGAAGGCAGGUUCCUGGCCAUAUCCUGACGCUGAGGUGCGAAAGCUAGGGUAGCGAACGGGAUUAGAUACCCGGNUANUC
rnacentral:rRNA from 1 species